UUGUUGGAGAUGAAUCAACCUGCAACUGCAGUACUGGGUACAUUUGGAGCAAUGAAGUGUGCUACUAUUACAACUGUUGCCGUGAAACUUCUUGCACACAAAAUGUGUCCCACAUUACACCACUCUGCGUUGCCAAAGUCAAAGUUCGCCUUACUGGAUCAGUAACAACAAAAGGCACUUGGGAUUCAUCCAAAGAAGACAAGCUUAAAGCUGAAUUUGGAAGGCUGAAUGGCUUUGAGUUCCUGAAUGUAACUGAGAGGU